UGGCAGCAAUGAUGUAUCCCAGAAUUAGGGCUUGGCUUCAGUUUGCAUCAUAGCGGGGGAUUGUUGUCAGUAGUUUGGUCCUCAGGUUAGCUGUUGCUUGGUUUUAUGCAGAUCGUUUCUGUCAAGAGAAUGAUUUCUUUGGAGUUAUUUUGUUUGUGUGUUAAUGGUAGUAAAUGGAGACACCGAAGAUGUCUUCAGGAGGUGAGAAAAAAGGUUUUAGGAUUAGCUGGUGGCUGUGGGAGGUACCACUGGAAGGAGCCAUGCACGUGUACCUCCAAGUACUUCCUGUUCAACAUGACUCCCAGCUGGCUUCCAAGGCAACAACUCUGUUGCUUCCUUCUUCUCCUUGGAGCUGAAACCUUCUGCAAAGAGGAUAGCUGUCCCGAGACAAAUGAGGGCAUGGACUAAGUAAUGCAUUGUGAAUGGUGCAUUGCUACAGUACGGAAAUGAAGGAUGACAUCAGACCAACUGAUCUCAUUCCUGGGUCACUGCAGGCUGUGCUGGCAGACAUUUGCCUUGGAAGGCUGACAGUUUGCCUGAAACAUCCAUGUUACAAAUGGGAUGCUCACCUGAACCUCGGAGACAGAGAAGAUGUUUACUUCUUCCUCUUUUUUCAACACCCUUACUUUUAUUCAGUCCUGAAGAGCUCAGUUAGGACUUCUGCAUCUCACUAGCAUGAAGAAGAGAAUGUUGUGACCUUGCAAGCAUAAAAUUUAAAGUGAGAGCAAGGAGAGGUCUUAGAAAGUAUUCCUCAUUAAACUGAUUGUAACCUGCUGGUGUGCGAAAGAAGUUUAUAUGAUCCCUCAAUCUCACAUACAUUCCAAUCUCUCCAAAAAUGGUAAAAGUUAUAACUAGUUUUCUUUUCCAGUGCCCAAGUUCCUGAAAGCAAAUAAUAUUGAUAAUGUAUCCACCUGUUUUGCUGUGGAAACUCUGACCAAUUGGGGCACCCUGUAAAGGAAGGGGAAUUUAAGGACACAUAAGAGAUUAUUGACAUGAAAUGAAAGGCACUGGGAAUCAGUUGCUGUUCCAGUUAGAAUUUGUGGAUAGAGUGCUGGAGGCCUGAUGUGUUUUGUUUAUUCUGCUUUUUUAUUAUUUGAAGCAGCUUGCUCUCGUUUUCUAAUUGAGAAACUGCAGUAAUGCAAUGCUGAAUCUGGUCCACUGAGCUGAAAAAGUUUAUUAUGAUUACUGGGACUAAUCAUAAUAAAUGCAUCAGUGUUCAUCUGUGCUUUGAUUUA
rnacentral:lncRNA from 1 species